GAAAUGCGAUAAGUAAUGUGAAUUGCAGAAUUCAGUGAAUCAUCGAAUCUUUGAACGCACAUUGCGCCCGCCAGUAUUCUGGCGGGCAUGCCUGUCCGAGCGUCAUUUCAACCCUCAGGCCACGCCUGGUGUUGGGGCCCCACGCGCGCCGUGGGCCCUGAAAAUCAGUGGCGGCUCCCUCACGAACCCGAGCGCAGUAGCUUUGCCUCGCUCUGGGCGCGUGGGGGUCCCCCGCCGUGAAAUUCUAUCAUCUAAGGUUGACCUCGGAUCAGGUAGGAUUACCCGCUGAACUUAA
rnacentral:misc_RNA from 1 species